GACGAACCGUGCGAACGUUGUUCGGAAUCACUGGGCUUAAAGGGCGCGUAGGCGGGUUCGCAAGUCUGUGGUGAAAGCCUCCAGCUUAACUGGAGAAGUGCCAUGGAUACUGCGAAUCUUGAGGAGGGUAGGGGCAUCUGGAACGGUCGGUGGAGCGGUGAAAUGCGUUGAUAUCGACCGGAACUCCGGUGGCGAAGGCGAGGUGCUGGACCCUUUCUGACGCUGAGGCGCGAAAGCCAGGGGAGCAAACGGG
rnacentral:rRNA from 1 species